UUUUGCACGGGAUAAUUUCUCCUUACCAGAUGUAGCAUGUCAAAGACAGCGGCUGAAAAAAAUGCACUACCAACUGAAAACCUGCCAAGGACGUCAUGUUAUGAUGAGAACAAGGAUGCUCAUAUGAAAGAGCUUUCACUGGCAAGACUUCGCCGACGUGUGUAUCGGUCAGCCAGAAAUGAAUCAAGCAAAGAAACUGUUGCCUCCCCAUUAGAAGCAAAGGUGUUGCCCCAUGCACCUGUCAGCACGACCACCAUGGAAUGUGCUUGCCAACCUGGCCUCCGGACAUUAAUGGCAGAGUACUCAAGAGAAGAAAAAGACGUGGCAAAUUUCCUACUAGAAAUGGCUUCACGGACAAGGCUUACAGAAAGCAAGGCUGCCCAAGUGACAUCGGGUACUUUUCCACAGAAGUUUGUGAACACGAUAAAUAGUAGCAACGUAAAUACAUUCACCGGCCUGCCAUCAUUCGAUGUUCUGAAUGCUCGUGUGACGUGCUACACAAAAAUUCAUCCACUUUCAGGACGGCACCAGUUAUGUGUAAAAACAAUUGCAUUGACAUUGGUGAAAUUGAAGCAUAUUUCCACUGCAUUCUUGAGUCACCUUUUUAACUGUUCUCUAACUACAUGUAGCAACAUAAUUGCAGAGACUGCUCAGUUGAUGUGUGAAAUUUUAAAAGUAACUGUGGCUGUGCCACCAAAAGAUGAAUUCCAGUGGCACGUUUGCAUAUUCGGCAUUAGGUGAUUCACCUGAAGUCGUGCCAUGGCUGGCGAUAUUGCAAGUAGCCUGUAUUGCAUAGAGGCAUUUGUGCGUGUGACCUUGGCUCCAUCAAAGCGUGGCGGCCUUGAGAGUAAGUGCGGUCUUCUGUUUGGAAAUCCAGCAUUUUUUAUGCCAAUCAGCCACUUCAUACUUUUCAGACACGGUCGUUGCCAUGUGAUCUACAUGCUGCACUUGUUUGCAUUGGCCAAACCUGCAGACUUCAACUUCAACACAGUUUUUGUAUAUUAGCAAUGCACAUUCUUUUGCAACUUGUAUUCUUCAUUGAAGUGCUGAUAUACACUACGCAUUCUGAUGCAAGUUUUCAUCUUAUGGUAUUCCGAGAUAUUUGCAGUUCACUUAUGAUCUGUGUGCAUAGAGUUGUGGUUAUUCUUCAAUGGCUGUUUGUUGUCCCUUUCCUUACUUGUAUUUUUUCACAAAAUAAACCACAUGUACUCAAUAUUUUGUUCACUGUACUUGCCUCAUACGUUUUACUCAAGCCCAUUUUUGUUGCACUUUUUAGCAUAUGAGGGUAUAUCUGGCCAAACAGAACAUGAGAAGUAACAUGGAACAGUGUCAAACCUGCAUACGAUGAGUAUUUAAAAAGUUCGGCCACCAGAGUUGAGUACUCUGAAAGAAUGGUUUGAUUCAAAUGACCCCAGCUGGUAGAUGUACCCUAAUUUAUGCUUCUUCCCAGUUUGUUGAAUACAGUGCAAAUGGCUGUCCUGGGAAGCAUAACUAAACCACUGGUAAUACAACAUGGGGAGACACUUGUGCAGACUUAACAUCAGUGAAUGAUAAUUAUUGACCUCCAGAAAACAUAUAGAGCUGUCCUUACUAUCAACAUAUCAAUAAAUGGAAAGUGACAUAAAAGUUUAACAUGCACUUAAAGCACUUAACAAACACUUAAAGGGGCACUGAAACACUUCCGACUGAUCAUAGUUACCUCACUACAAAAGGACACCGCCUGCUGCAAAAAUUUU